rnacentral:rRNA from 1 species
AACGAACGCUGGCGGCAGGCCUAACACAUGCAAGUCGAACGCAUCGCAAGAUGAGUGGCGCACGGGUGAGUAACACGUGGGAAUGUACCCUUUGGUUCGGAAUAACGUUUGGAAACGAACGCUAAUACCGGAUGAGCCCUACGGGGGAAAGAUUUAUCGCCAAAGGAGCAGCCCGCGUCUGAUUAGCUAGUUGGUGAGGUAAUGGCUCACCAAGGCAACGACGGGUAGCCGGCCUGAGAGGGCGACCGGC